rnacentral:misc_RNA from 1 species
AACGCACAUUGCGCCCGCCAGUAUUCUGGCGGGCAUGCCUGUUCGAGCGUCAUUUCAACCCUCAAGCCCCAGCGGCUUGGUGUUGGGGACCGGCCCCGGCCGCCCCCCAAAUGCAGUGGCGACCUCGCCGCAGCCUCCCCUGCGUAGUAGCACAACCUCGCACCGGAGCGCGGAGACGGUCACGCCGUAAAACGCCCAACUUCUUUAGAGUUGACCUCGGAUCAGGUAGGAAUACCCGCUGAACUUAA